AUUGAAACACCAGUUUCAGUAUAAUCACUGAAGUUAAGCAAUGUCGAGUCUGAUCAGUACCUUGAUGGGUGACUACUUGGGAAUACCAGGUGCUGUAAG